UGGCGACCGGCGCACGGGUGAGUAACGCGUAUCCAACCUGCCCUUUACUAUGGGACAGCCCGUCAAAAGGCGGAUUAAUACCGUAUGUUGUCAUGUUGAUGCAUAUUUUCAUGACCAAAGGCUUCGGCCGGUAAAGGAUGGGGAUGCGUCUGAUUAGCUUGCCGGCGGGGUAACGGCCCACCGGGGCGACGAUCAGUAGGGGUUCUGAGAGGAAGGUCCCCCACAUUGGAACUGAGACACGGUCCAAACUCCUACGGAAGGCAGCAG
rnacentral:rRNA from 1 species